AUUACAUGGUGGGGAGACUUCCUUAAUAUCUCCUUAAAGCAUUCCCAAGAAUCAUAUAAAGACUCCCUGUCAUUUUGAUGGAAAUUAUUAAUUUCACCUCUCAAAUU